CUUUCCCACAUUUUCCUUUUUCCUUCUGAGCCCUCAAAACUGUCUCAAACUCUGCCUGUUACCCAGUUCCAAAGUCACUUCCACAUUUUCAGGUAUCUUUACAGCAGCACCCCAUUCUACUGGUCCCAAUUUACUGUAUUAGUCUGUUCUCACACUGCUGACAAAGACAUACCCAAGACUGAGUAAUUUAUAUAUAAAAAA
rnacentral:lncRNA from 1 species